rnacentral:lncRNA from 1 species
AUGAAAAGCGACUCUGGACAUUCCACCAUGGCUGAGCAGCAGAAACAGGAGGAGAAGCUCUGCCAUGCCUUGAAGAUCACUGCCCGUGUCCUUGGUACAGGCCUGAUCGUGUUCACUGCCUUAGCAAACUCUGUUUCUUGGUACGCGGAGGGUAUCUGGGACACCUUAGGCCAUUUCUGGCAAACAAAAUGGCUAGAGUUGUACUAUCUGUUUGAGGGAGACGAAUGGACAAUCUUCCUCCUUGGUAAGUGUUAACAACUCUCUGAACAGGCCUGGUAUGGACCUUGCAAGGUCCCAGGGAUCACCUCAACCUUAUCCUACUUGUAUUUUAAAACCACCCAUGACAGAGAGACCCCCCAAGCCUCCCAGAAAAGCCCAUUCUUAGCCUCAGUUGGUGGCACAUCGGACUG